UUACACACUCCUUUGUGUCUAGCUUCUUAUGCUCAAUGUAAUAUUUUUGAGAUUCUGUGUUGUGUAUUAUGGAGGAUGGGCUGGAAGGUAGCCAACAUGACUACUGCUUCCUGUGUUCAUACAUUUAUAUGAUCCCCUCCUCUAAAUAUAGGCAGGACCUGUGACUUUUUCCUAGAAUAUCGCAAAGGAGCAAGCUGCCAUAUCAUACAAGAGUUUAUGAAAAGGGCCAUGUGACAAGAAACUGUGGGCAGCCUCCAGAAUCUGAGGGUGGCCUCAGCUGAUUACCAGCAAAAAGCCUUGGUUUUAAAGCCACAAGGAAAAGAACUCUUCCAAAAACUUGCAUUAACUUGGAAGUGGUUCCAUUGCCAGUCAAGCCUCCAGAUAAGAUCCAAACCCUGGAUGACAUCUUGAUUGCAGUCAUACAGAAGAUAUGGCUAAACUGUGCCCAGACUUCUGACCCUCAGAAACAGUGAGCUAAAACAGCCUGAAAGAAUGUGAUCUCCUGGCUCCGUCUCUGAUGGAACUUUACAAUCAAAACUGAGACCAAUGCAUGAAGACUGACUUCAUGAUAGACUUGAGUCAAGAGAGGGUUCAAAAUGGAAUAGGUCUUACAAUGCCACUCAGCCCAGGACCAUCUUCAUAGAUCCUUGUUCACAGAUUCUUCCAUCUUUCAGCUCUGAUGGAAUCCCUUACAUCUUGGUCAUUACAUCAGUUCCAGGCAAAUUUCCUGACAAACUUCUAUCUACCCUUCAAAACCUAGGAGAAAUGGCAAUGGACAUUCAGCCUCUGUCUGGGAGACAUCAGGGAGUAGUGAGAACUACAGUGAACUACAGAGUCCAUGCCUCAACCAAAGGAAUGCUUCUGUGAUUGAUUCUGGGGAUGAUAAUUGCUUCCUGCUGUUGUUACAUUCUGGAUGCAUCACGUUUCCUUAGCCCCACACACUACUCUCUAUAAAGAAAUGAAGGCUCAGAGAAGUGGAUUCUCAGAUCUGAGCAACACAUUUCUGACGGAGAGCAACACACACAUCCUAUACCCAGGAUGAGCUUACACCACACUCAAUGUCUGGAGAAAUCUCUGAGUCCUGCUGCUUCCUGUAUAGACUCAAGAGUCCACACAUGCCAGUCUGGGGUAGGCUUGACAGGGCCAGAGGCCAUGGAAUGGACGUGGGUACAGUGAGGAAGAGAAUAACAGAGUCUCAGGACAUAAAGACACUUGGAAAUUCACUUGGCAUUGAAUCAGAAAUCACGGUUCAAAUCCAAGUGCUGCCUCUUCCUCUGCCCCAGCUUUAUCGUGGUGUGACUGACCAAUAAAAACUGCAUAUAUUUAAGGUGUAAAACAUGUUUUGAUAUAUGUAUAUGUUACGAAAUGAUUACCACAACCAAGCUAAUAUUCUCCUCACCUGACAUAGUUUACCACUUUCCCUCCUAAGAGCACUUGAAAUCUGCUCACUCAGCAAAUUUCAAGUAUACGUUAUUAUCAACUAGUCACUAUGCUCUACAUUGUCCCCAGAACUUAUUCAUCUUAUAACUGUGUGUACCCUUUAACCAAUGUCUUCCCAUUCCCCAAAAUCUGCCAGCCCCUAAUAACUACUAUUCUAUUAUUUGUUGCUAUUGGGUUUAGCUUUCUCAGAAUCCACAUACAAGUGAAAUCAUGUGUAUUUCCCUGGUGUGUCUGAAUUCACUUAGCAUAAUGUCUUCCAGGUUUAUCUAUGUUGUUGCAAAUGGCAGGUUUCCUAUUUUU